GGGUGAGGAGAGUAUCCUAAGGCCAGCGAGAGAACUGUUGUUAAGGAACUCGGCAAAAUGACCCCGUAGCUUAGGGAUAAGGGGUGCCACCAUCAGGUGGCCGCAGAGAAUAGGCCCAAGCGACUGUUUACCAAAAACAUAGGCUUCUGCUAAGUCGCAAGACGAUGUAUAGGAGCUGACGCCUGCCCGGUGCUGGAAGGUUAAGGGGAUCUGUUAGAGCAAUCGAAGCAGUGAACUUAAGCCCCAGUAAACGGCGGGCGUAACUAUAACGGUCCUAAGGUAGCGAAAUUCCUUGUCGGGUAAGUUCCGACCCGCACGAACGGCGUAACGAUUUGGGCACUGUCUCAACAACAGACUCGGUGAAAUUGUAAUUCCGGUGAAGAUGCCGGAUACCUGCGGCAGGACGGAAAGACCCCAUGGAGCUUUACUGUAGCUUGACAUUGGGUCUUGGUACUACAUGUACAGGAUAGGUGGGAGGCUUUGAAACCAGGACGCCAGUUUUGGCGGAGCCAUCCUUGGGAUACCACCCUUGUAGUACUGGGACUCUAACCAUAGGCCAUGAAUCUGGUCUUGGGACACUGUCAGGUGGGCAGUUUGACUGGGGCGGUCGCCUCCCAAAAGGUAACGGAGGCGCUCAAAGGUUCUCUCAGUACGGACGGAAAUCGUACGUAGAGCGUAAAGGCAAAAGAGAGCUUGAUUGCAAGACAUACAGGUCGAGCAAGGAUGAAAAUCGGACUUAGUGAUCCGGUGGUUCUGCGUGGAAGGGCCAUCGCUCAACGGAUAAAAGCUACCCUGGGGAUAACAGGCUUAUCUCCCCCAAGAGUCCACAUCGACGGGGAGGUUUGGCACCUCGAUGUCGGCUCAUCACAUCCUGGGGCUGUAGUAGGUCCCAAGGGUUGGGCUGUUCGCCCAUUCCAGUGGUACGCGAGCUGGGUUCAGAACGUCGUGAGACAGUUCGGUCCCUAUCCGUCGCAGGCGUAGGAAAUUUGAGAAGACCUGUCCUUAGUACGAGAGGACCGGGAUGGACGUACCUCUGGUGUACCAGUUGUCCUGCCAAGGGCAUGGCUGGGUAGCUAUG
rnacentral:rRNA from 1 species